rnacentral:lncRNA from 1 species
CACCAGAGAGAGGCAAGUGCUUUCAUGAAUGAAUGCGAUAAACCAAUAAAUCUUUUCGUUACAUAUCGGGGACAGGGAACCAGCCCAGCUAACUCGAUUUCCCGAAGAAAAGAGAGGGCGCUCUUCCACUCCUAGCUCUCCCUCUCGAUUUUGAAAAGUAUAUAGAAAUGGUAGGCACUGGGAGUGAGUGAACUACCCGGGGAGAAAGGGGCAACCUCUCUAUAGAAGGGAAAGGAAAGGUUUAUCCGCUCAUAAUGAUUGUAGAGUCUUUCCGGAUUGGAGGUCUAAUAGUAGUCACAUCAAGUCCUCCCCCUCUUACUAAGGAU